AUGGUGAAUCAGAUUCAGCAGAAGUCUGAGGCUGCUUGCAAGAAGUUUGAAGCUGACAUCUCCGAUCUGAAGACCCGCCUGAGGACGCAAGAAACUGAGACCCGGAAGGCCAACGCCAAAUUUGUGUCCAGUAUUGCUGCUCAAGAAAAGCUGAAAAAGGAUUUUGAAGCUGAACGGAAAGCUUGGGCCGAAGAGAAGGCUACUCUGGUGAGCUGGGCCGAACAGGCGGAGAAGGCUCUGACAGAGAAAACCGCCGAACACUCCGGCUUAAAGCGCCACGUGUCCCAGAUGGUUGCCGCAAUCUUUGGUCCCAGAAGCGCCAACCUCAACCAAAGUGUGGUGACCAAGUUGAAGGCCGUGUACACCCUGGUGGAGCAACUCUACACCGGGUCACAGUGCGCCUUGGCCGUGGUGGCCCUAUCCAAUGAGGUGCCGACUCACCUGGCGGAGGUUCUUCGCCGGCUUGCCGUUCUUCCUCAGCGUGUCCAAGAGCUGCGACGGGCCUCCGCAAGAGCCGGAGCCAUAGCUGCUCUGAGCCGGGCCAAGGUGUUCCUUCCAGAAUUAGACCCGGCGGACAUUGCCCUUGGCUAUCCCAGCUUGAAGGAAGACGGCACCCCCUUCGACCAAAGGGACUUUGCAGCCUGCGUGAAGAUCAUACGCCCGGUGGCCACUCUGAUUGGAAAUGACACGGAUCUGACCAAGUAUCAGCCGGGUUACGAUGCAGAGAAUCAGAGGAUCCCCACUCCGCGUUAUGAAGCCAUCAGCUUAGUCCCGCCGACUCGUAAGCACACCUUUGCCCCGGAAAUUGACCCGGCCGGGUUAAUUGACGAGGAAGCUCAAUUUGAAGCUCUGAGCGGCAUUGACUGGAAAUCAUCAACUUUCCAGGUCUUGGGAACAGCCGGAGGAGCGGAGAGGGAUGAGCCGGAAGCCUCAACCCAGCAAGCAUCUUAA
rnacentral:rRNA from 1 species